GAUGAAGAACGCAGCGAAAUGCGAUACUUGGUGUGAAUUGCAGAAUCCCGUGAACCAUCGAGUCUUUGAACGCAAGUUGCGCCCGAAGCCAUUAGGCCGAGGGCACGCCUGCCUGGGCGUCACACGUCGUUGCCCCCCCAUCUACUCCUUCGGGAUUGCGGGGGGCGGAUGAUGGCCUCUCGUGCGCCUCGUCGCGCGGUUGGCCUAAAUGCCAAGUCCUCGGCGACGCACGCCACGACAAUCGGUGGUGGCGAAACCUCGGUUGCCUGUCGUGUGCGGUCGUCGCGCAUCGAGGGCUCGAAAAAAUUGCCGGGCUUCGGCUCGACUUUCAACGCGACCCCAGGUCAGGCGGGGUUACCCGCUGAAUUUAAGCAUAUCAAUAAGCGGAGGA
rnacentral:misc_RNA from 1 species